rnacentral:misc_RNA from 1 species
GGAAAUGCUAAUAUGGAUUAUAUCAUAUAUAGCAGAAUUGAAUCAAUGAAACACAAUCGUAUCAUAUAAUUUCAAUGACAAACCUCUCUUUUUUACAAUGUAGUAAUUACUAAGUGAUGAAUAUUGAAUAUACAUACAAGGCUUGACAACAGGGACUCUCUCACCAGGCAAGAAUAUGAUGUAGAAGAAAGAGUCGGACCCUCUACUCAAAACUGAUUCCAAACGCAUUAGUUCUAUUCACAGGAUAUUGAGGAGUUGAGCCUUAUCUCCAAGCUCAUGGGCUAUCCGGAGAAGGGGUUAUGUCCCUGAAAACCUGCAACCUGUGUUUCUUCCUCAUAUUGAAGCCAUUCUUGCCAUCAAAACAUAAAGAUCGCCGCACUGUUGGAUUCCUUGGUGAAACAGCAUUGCUGAAUGUAUCGUAGCCAUCCUUCAGAUCAAAUGCUUCCAACUUUUGGUUUAUAGCUUCUACUGGACUCUUAGGACAAGUAGUUUGAUGAACUAUAUUGGAAUCCUGAUUUUCAUCAUUAGAUUCUUCUUCAUAAUUCCAAUCAUCAUCAAAAUAAGGGCUCAGAUCUUUUCCAGUUAAUAAUUUCUCUUCUUCUUCUUCAACCAUAUCUGCCCAACUUUUAUUAGCAGAUUUGGUUGAGCUGUUCUUUCCAAGACUCACCUUUCCAGAAUCAUUCAUACCAAAACUCUGACCCCAUUUGCCAUCAAUGGAAGUUUCUGAUUGUCUUCUUGCAUCAUCAACAACUAUGGUUUGCUCCAGGUGAAAUUUAGGACUGACAUCACUUUCUUCAUCUGUAGAUCCCAUCUGGCUACCACUUUCCAUGGCAUUCCUUCUCCAGCUUGCCUGCUGUGAAUCAGACUUGAUCACAUUUUUAUCUUUCACAUGGGUGUCAUCAUAUCCACUAAAGGUCCUUAUCCUGGGUUGUGAAAACUGAUGUAGCACUGUUACUCCUGUGAUCUUCCCAUGGGCAACCUCUGUCCUUGACUUUGAUAGUUCAGCUUCUGAAUUCUCAUCUGUUGAAUCUAGUUCUCCAUCAAGAUUCUGGACAGUACAACUACAAGCUAACAAAUUUUCAGAUGGUUUCUCAACUGUAUACUCUUCCCAUCCUACCCUUCUCUGGUCUCCUUCAGCAAACCUCCCCGAAACUCUUUUUGGUUGCGUAUAUAGAACAGCUGCAGGGGAAUCUAGCAUUUUCUUGUUUGCUGAACCUAGUCCUUUUCCACUGGAACCAAUUGAAUUUUCUUUCAUUUUGUUGGAAAAGGUAGACCUUUCACCUGGGCUUUCAAAAUAAUGACCUUUCCUCCAUUCACUGUCAACUCCAUUUUGUUGAGAAGACAAUGAACUACCUGUCAGUCCAGAUGAUAAGCAUUUUGAACUCCUGUUAUUAAAUUCAAAGAAGUUUCCCUGGUUCUCAGGGUGGAUUCCAAAAUAAGAUCCUCUAUUAUGGUUAUCUGAUAGCAAAGGUUCAAUAAUCUGUCCAUCUGUCCACCUUCUGGAGUCCAUGAAACCAGAAACGUAACCACGACCUCCUUCAGUAGAGCUAGUAACUUCUUUCAGCUUUCUGGUGAUAGGCGAUGUCAAAGAUCUUUGGUUCUCUUUGUCCUCUUCAGUUGGUUUUAACAUUGAUUUUGACUCUAAUUCAGUCAGCAUCUCAACAGCACGCUCGAAGGAUUUAGCAUAGGAAUCGUCCAUCUGUUUGUGUCCACAUGAAUCACUUACAGCCUGAAGCAGAGAUUUUGCUUCAGGAAUUCUGUUCAUAUGCAGCAAGCAGAUUGCCAAGUUGCACCGCUUGUUCUUAUCUGGCUCCAAGGACAGAGCUUUCCUGCAAAAUAUAUUUUUUUAAUGAAAAUUAGCCUAUUACAUUUAGAUUAAACUUAAUAGUUUCUGUCAAGUUAUAUUUGAGUGAAGAACAAAACUUACCUGUAAUGCUGUUCAGCCAAACCAUAAUCAUGAUGCUGCAAGUAAGCCCAGGCCAAGUUCCCUAAUAUCCUGUAUCAGUUAAGUUACAAAGUGGAAUAACGUCCAGAGAUGUAUGGUUAAAAGAAGACAUAAAAAGAACAAUCUAAUAGAGAUUGUAUUCCACCUUGAUCUUUCUUGUUCAAUGGUUAUUUGAAUCUUCUUCCCUUGAGAUCUUGCAAUCUUUGUCCUCUUUCCACCAAAAGCUAUACCUUCUUCUAUGUUCUUCAGUUUGCGAUGCAGCAUUUCAAUCUCCUCAUCAAUUCUUCCAGACCUCUGAAAUAUUCAGACCAAUGUGAAGAUGAAAUACAUUACAACUCCAUAUAGCAACAUUAAUAGACAUCAUAAAACCCUCAGUUGCACACAAAAGACGGAACAAGUUUCCUCUUAAACAGGAAAUCAGUCACACAGACAAAAAGAAUACAUGUUUCUUUGACAUUUCCUUCUGAUUAUAAUUAUAUGCCUACAAUGUCAAACAAAUUGCUCAGUUUCUAGUGUGCAUUAGUUGAAUGCAUUUAUAUGGUUCCUUACUUAAACUGCUUGUUUCUUAUGUGACUUCUAACCAAGUUUGAGUUCCAUUCUCUUUAGAAGUCCCAUCACAAAACUUGAGCUCACCAGUAGCAUAGUAAGACAUUAAAACUCUGCAAACACUUGAAGAAGUAAAAUUCAUAAUCUUUGAUUCCUUGUAAAUUCUAUGCACAGCUUUUUAAUACAAGCUAGUCUCAUGAAAUGUCACUCUCCCAAAACGUCACUCUCAUAAAUUCUAUGCACAGCUUUUUGAGAAUCAAUUCAUUAUUUACAUUAAUCUAAUAAACUAGAAGGGAAUUAAUUAAUGAUAAACGACUUGGAUAGAUUCCUAUUAUAUAUAUGAAAUAAAAUAUAUAAUAAAUAUUUUAUCAAUGAAAUUUAAUUUUAUAAUAAUAGAGCUGUCUCUAAAUUUAUAUCUUAAUUUAAAUUUUAAUUAAAUUUAUAUCUUACCAUGUCAUGCAUAUGAUGUGGUGUAAAAACCAAUAAAAUGAAUACACAUCAAUUAUUAACUAAUUAAUUUUUUUAUUCAAAAUUCUAAUGGAUAAUUGUAAACACAGUUUGUUUUUCCUUUUUCAAAGCAGUUUUUUCAAAGCAGUUUUUACCCCUGUGUCUUAAUCUUACAGGUUAGGGCACUACGUCAUUGUACACUGACUUCAUGCAAUAAUUUCCCCCUUGAUUUGGAGCAACCAAAGAGGAUGCGUACAGUCAUUUCCCAUUGACUAAAAAUAAGGUCCUGGCCGUUUAUUUUCUUUCUUGCCAAUAAAGUUAACUUAUUUGGUUAAAUUAAA